GCUACAACCUUCGUCACAACAUUUCUCUACAACCUUCGCUCCACAACACCAUGUGCUGGGUGACCCCUGCUUGUGCAACAGAAUCGGAGAGUACGGGAGCCAGGAGGGCAGUGGCCGCUAGCCACAGAAAAGGACGAUUGGCCAGGGCAGGUGAUGGAGGUGAUGGGUGGUGAUGGGCUCUUCUUCUUCUUUCUGCAAUGGUGAGAUUGCAAGAGUGGAGAACACAGAGCUAACUUCGAGGUAACCGUAUAAUGCCUACUUACGUAGGCGUCCCCGUUCGUCGCGGCGGUUACGUCACUGGUAUG